rnacentral:tRNA from 1 species
UUAAAUAAAUUAAAUUUAAUUAAAUAAAUAUCUAAAUUUUAAGUAUAUCAUUUACAAUGAUAAGAUGUUUGUUUUAACUUUAUUUAAAUU